UACGGAGGGUGCGAGCGUUGUCCGGAUUUAUUGGGUUUAAAGGGUAGCGUAGGUGGCUUUGAUAAGUCAGUGGUGAAAAUACAGCCGCUCAACGGUUGAGGUGCCAUUGAUACUGUAGAGCUUGAAACAAGUGGAGGCUGCCGGAAUGGAUGGUGUAGCGGUGAAAUGCAUAGAUAUCGAUCCAGAACACCGAUUGCGAAGGCAGGUGGCUACGUUUGAUUUGACAGCUGAGGCAACGAAAGGCAUGGGGAGCAAACAGG
rnacentral:rRNA from 1 species